GACGAACGCUGGCGGCGUGCUUAACACAUGCAAGUCGAACGGAAAGGCCCCGUUGGGGGUACUCGAGUGGCGAACGGGUGAGGAACACGUGAGUAACCUGCCCUUGACUGCGGGAUAACGUGAGGAAACUGGGGCUAAUACCGGAUAGGAAUCCGGGCGGCAUGGUGGGGGUUGGAAAGCUUCGGCGGUUUUGGAUGGAGGAGCGGCUUAGCAGCUUGUUGGUGGGCUCGUGGCUGCCCAAGGCUUUGACGGGUAGCCGGCCUGAGAGCUCGACCGGAAACCUUUCUCCUGAGAUCCUUCCACGCCUCCUCCUCGAGGCAGCAGUGGGGACUAUUGCACAAGUGGCGGAAGCCUGAUGCAGCAACUCCGCCUGCGGGAUGACGGCCUUCGGGUUGUAAACCGCUUUCAGCAGGGGCGAAGCUUGUGGUGACGGUACCUGCAGAAGAAGCACCGGCUAACUACGUG
rnacentral:rRNA from 1 species